UACGGGGGGGUAAGCGUUGUUCGGAAUUACUGGGCGUAAAGGGCUCGUAGGCGGCCAACUAAGUCAGACGUGAAAUCCCUCAGCUUAACUGGGGAACUGCGUCUGAUACUGGAUGGCUUGGAUUCGGGAGAGGAAUGCGGAAUUCCAGGUGUAGCGGUGAAAUUCGUAGAUAUUCGGAAGAACACCAGUGGCGAAGGCGGCUCACUGGUCCGGUACUGACGCUGAGGUGCGAAAGCGUGGGGAGCAAACAGG
rnacentral:rRNA from 1 species